GGACGACGGCUGGCGGCGUGGAUUAGGCAUGCAAGUCGGACGGUAGGGCUUUAUCGUAAGAUAGAGUUUGAGAGUGGCGAACGGGUGAGUAACACGUAGGAAUCUACCCUUAAGACGGGGACAACCCGAGGGAAACUUGGGCUAAUACCGGAUGAGAGUGCGAGAGAUUGCAUUUAAAAGGAUGGCGAAAGUUGUCGCUUAGGGAUGAGCCUGCGGUCUAUUAGUUAGUUGGUGAGGUAAGAGCUCACCAAGGCGAUGAUAGAUAGGCGGCCUUAACGGGUGGUCGCCCACACUGGGAUUGAGAUACGGCCCAGACUCCUACGGGAGGCAGCAGUGGGGAAUAUUGCACAAUGGGCGAAAGCCUGAUGCAGCGACGCCGCGUGAGGGAUGACGGCCUUCGGGUUGUAAACCUCUUUCAGCAGGGAAGAAGCGAAAGUGACGGUACCUGCAGAAGAAGCACCGGCUAACUACGUG
rnacentral:rRNA from 1 species